CACAAUUGGACACACAUCUCGGGAUUGUGGCAAUUACCAUAUUAUGAGAAACUUCUCAUUCGCCAUAACAUUGAUGUUAUGCAUAAUGAGAAAAACAUGGGUGAAGCAGUAAUGGUCACAUGCAUGGACAUGUCUGAUAGAACAAAGGAUAAUGUCAAGGCAAGGUUAGAUCUAGCUUCGAUUUGUGAUAGACCACUGUAUCACAUGCGUGAGAAGUCAAAUGGUGGUUGGGAAAGACCAAGGGCAUUGUUUUGCCUUAGUCGACAGCAGAAAGUUCUAGUUUUAGAGUGGCUAAAGGGUUUGAAAUUUCCAGACAUGUUUGCUGCAAACAUUAGGAGGGGUGUAAAUUUGUCUGAUUUAAAGAUCACAGGAUUGAAAAGUCAUGACUACCAUAUUUUCAUGGAACGCCUGCUACCUGUAGCUUUCCGUGGCUUUCUUGAUAACAAUGUGUGGCUUGCACUAGCAGAACUCAGUUUCUUUUAUAGACAACUUUGCUCCAAGGAGUUAGAAAUAGAGAAAGUAAAAAAGUUGGAAGAGAAUAUUGCUAUCCUUAUAUGCAAACUGGAGAAGAUCUUCCCACCAGGUUUUUUUAAUUCAAUGCAACAUCUCAUGAUACAUUUACCAUAUGAGGCAAGACUUGGCGGGCCUGUACAGUAUAGAUGGAUGUAUCCAUUUGAAAGGUACGUUAACAACAGCUUAGAAAGUAUUUAUAUCAAUCAUAAAUUAUGUUUGAACAUUAUUUGGACUGAUCUCACAGGCUAAUGAAAUAUCUUAAGAAGAUGGUUAAAAAUAAAGCACGAGUUGAAGGAUGCAUUGUCGAGGCUUAUAUAGUGGAGGAAAUUUCAAAUAUCGUUAGCUUAUAUUUCAAACGUGACGCACCAUCGAGUCGAAGUAAAAGGUCUAGGUAUGAUGAUGGGUAUGAGACUCAUAACAGUAAUUGUAGUCUCAGCACAUUUCAAGUACCAGGUCGUGUUCAUGGUAAGCGUGGGACAAAAGUGCUUGCAAGAGAUGAGUAUCAUGCAAUUCUGAUUUACAUUUACACCAACACUCUGGAGAUGGAUGAUUUUGUGAUGAGAUUUGACAAAGCAGAAUGUAGGAAUUUCCAUCGAGCAACUCAGCAACAAAUUGAUAAAACUCGAAAGUCUGGUGCUGGUAGAGGCCGUCUAAACUUAUUUGAAUGGUUUAGAGAUUUGUGCUUAAAGGAAGGAGGUAUCCACAAGGAUUUGGUUCAAAUAUCUCAUGGUUGCCGUACUCGUGUGUCUUGUUUAACUGGAUAUGAUGUUAAUAACUUUAGGUUUCGUUCUGAGAAGUAUGAAAAAUCACGCCCCAAUCUAUCAACAAUAAAUAGUGGUAUAUUCCUCUCUUGCACUGAAGAUAAUAGCACUACAGACUAUUAUGGGGUUAUUG